rnacentral:rRNA from 1 species
AGUGAACGCUGGCGGUAGGCCUAACACAUGCAAGUCGAACGGCAGCACAGUAAUAGCUUGCUCUUACGGGUGGCGCGUGGCGGACGUGUGAGGCAUACAUCGGACUCUACUUUUUCGUGGGGGAUAACUUAGGGAAACUUACGCUAAUACCGCAUACGACCUACUGGUGAAAGAAGGGGAUCUUCGGACCUUGCGCGAUUGACUGAGCCGAUGUCGGAUUAGCUAGUUGGCGGGGUAAAGGCCCACCAAGGCGACGAUCCGUAGCUGGUCUGAGAGGAUGAUCAGCCACACUGGAGCUGAGACACGGUCCAGACUCCUACGGGAGGCAGCAGUGGGGAAUAUUGGACAAAGGGCGCAAGCCUGAUCCAGCCAUACCGCGUGGGUGAAGAAGGCCUUCGGGUCGUAAAGCCCUUUUGUUGGGAAAGAAAAGCAGCAGGUUAAUACCCAGCUGUUCUGACGGUACCCAAAGAAUAAGCACCGGCUAACUUCGUG